rnacentral:misc_RNA from 1 species
UUUCCGUAGGUGAACCUGCGGAAGGAUCAUUGCGAGUAAUAAAGGCAUAUUGUGUGUGCCGGUAGGCGCACACCUUAUGUCAAGUAAACCAGCUGUGCAGGAAUGCAGAGUGUGGUGGUCUAUGAGAGUAGGCCUUGUGAGAUGAGGAGAGUGGUGGGUGGAGGUAGUAGAUUGUUUAUCUAUUGCCUGCCCUGUUCUCCUUUAUAAAUAUACACCCUUUUUCACUUGUCUGCCUUAUACAAAUAAACAACAAUAUUACAACUUUUAACAAUGGAUCUCUUGGCUCCU